AGUAACGGCGAGUGAACAGGGAAAAGCCCAAAUUUGUAAUCUGGCACUUUUUACAAGUGUCCGAGUUGUAAUUUGUAGAGCUGUUAUCCGUACUGGACCAUGUACAAGUCUGUUGAAAAGCAGCAUCAUUGAAGGUGAAAAUCCUGUAGAUGAUAUGGACUACCAGUAUAUUUGUGAUACGGUUUCUAAGAGUCGAGUUGUUUGGGAAUGCAGCUCAAAGUGGGUGGUAAAUUCCAUCUAAGGCUAAAUAUAAGUGAGAGACCGAUAGCAAACAAGUACCGUGAGGGAAAGAUGAAAAGAACUUUGAAAAUAGAGUUAACAGUACGUGAAAUUGCUGAAAGGGAAACGUUUGAAGUUAGUUUUGUAUUCGUUGGAUCAGCUUCGCAAGGAGUGUAUUCUGAUGAUAAGCAAGUCAACAUCAGUCUAUGAGUGUUGGAUAAGGGUUUUGAGAAUGUAGCAAUUUAAUUGUGUUAUAGCUUGAGACUUGGAUACAAUGCUUUGGAUUGAGGAACGCGUAGUAAGCUUUGAGCGGAUUCGAAAGGAUCUCCUUACUAUGGAUGUUGGUGAAA
rnacentral:rRNA from 2 species